GCCAGGCGUGGUGGCGAGCGCCUGUAAUCCCAGCUACUCAGGAGGCUGAGGCGGGAGAAUUGCUUGAACCUGGGAGGGUGGAGGUUGCAGUGAGCCGCGAUUGCGCCACUGCACUCCUGCCUGGGCAACAGAGCAAGACUCCGUCUCAA
rnacentral:SRP_RNA from 1 species